rnacentral:rRNA from 1 species
AUUGGACGCUGGCGGCAUGCCUUACACAUGCAAGUCGAACGGCAGCACGGGAGCAAUCCUGGUGGCGAGUGGCGAACGGGUGAGUAAUAUAUCGGAACGUGCCCAGUCGUGGGGGAUAACGUAGCGAAAGCUACGCUAAUACCGCAUACGAUCUAUGGAUGAAAGCGGGGGAUCGCAAGACCGCGCGCGAUUGGAGCGGCCGAUAUCAGAUUAGGUAGUUGGUGAGGUAAAGGCUCACCAAGCCGACGAUCUGUAGCUGGUCUGAGAGGACGACCAGCCACACUGGGACUGAGACACGGCCCAGACUCCUACGGGAGGCAGCAGUGGGGAAUUUUGGACAAUGGGCGCAAGCCUGAUCCAGCAAUGCCGCGUGCAGGAUGAAGGCCUUCGGGUUGUAAACUGCUUUUGUACGGAACGAAACGGCGAGCUCUAAUACAGUUUGCUAAUGACGGUACCGUAAGAAUAAGCACCGGCUAACUACGUGCCAGCCGCCGCGGUAACAC